UACGUAGGGACCGAGCGUUGUCCGGAUUCAUUGGGCGUAAAGAGCUCGUAGGCGGCUGCUCAAGUCGAAUGUGAAAACUCGAGGCUCAACCUCGAGCCUGCAUUCGAUACUGGGCGGCUAGAGUCUGGUAGGGGGAUCUGGAAUUCCUGGUGUAGCGGUGGAAUGCGCAGAUAUCAGGAGGAACACCGAUGGCGAAGGCAGGUCUCUGGGCAUUAACUGACGCUGAGGAGCGAAAGCAUGGGGAGCGAACAGG
rnacentral:rRNA from 1 species